UCCGAGGUAGUGCAACGGGCACAAACCGCUGAAUUACCAUCGGGUUUACCUGGGUUCAAUUCCCAGCCUCGGAG
rfam:Calocera cornea HHB12733 unplaced genomic scaffold CALCOscaffold_95, whole genome shotgun sequence.